GUGGGGAAUCUUCCGCAAUGGACGAAAGUCUGACGGAGCAACGCCGCGUGAGUGAAGAAGGUUUUCGGAUCGUAAAGCUCUUUCGUUAGGGACGAACGUGCUCUUUGUGAAUAAUGAGGAGUAAUGACGGUACCUAAAUAAGAAGCCACGGCUAACUACGUGCCAGCAGCCGCGGUAAUACGUAGGUGGCAAGCGUUGUCCGGAAUUAUUGGGCGUAAAGCGCGCGCAGGCGGGAUAUCAAGUCUGUCUUAAAAGUGCGAGGCUCAACCUCGUGAGGGGACAGAAACUGGUAUUCUUGAGUGUCGGAGAGGAAAGUGGAAUUCCAAGUGUAGCGGUGAAAUGCGUAGAGAUUUGGAAGAACACCAGUGGCGAAGGCGACUUUCUGGACGAUGUCUGACGCUGAGGCGCGAAAGCUAGGGGAGCGAACGGGAUUAGAAACCUCGGUAGUCC
rnacentral:rRNA from 1 species